rnacentral:tRNA from 1 species
GCUCCUGUAGCCCAACUGGAAGAGGCGGCUGAUUCAAAACCAGCUUACGUGUGGGUUCGACUCCCCUCAGGAGUACCA